rnacentral:rRNA from 1 species
AGGCAGCGACUGACGUCACUUGGGAUAUGAGGAGAACUAUUGCUGUGAUGCUCGCCGAACGGACUACGUCUAAUAAAGUUCUGGAUAUAAUACUGAAAUAUGACAAUUUUAUAUUAAAAAAGUCUUGACCAAAUUACGUGCCAGCAGUCGCGGUAAUACGUAGAAGACGAGUGUUAGUCAUCUUUAAUAGGUUUAAAGGGUACCUAGACGGCAUUAUUAACCCUAAACGGAAAUAGUUUUGCUAGAGUUUUAUAUGAGAAGGGGAGUAUUUACGGAGUAGAGAUGAAAUUCUUUGAUACCUUAAGGACUGGCAAGGGCGAAAGCGGCCUUCUAUGUAAAAACUGACGUUGAGGGACGGAGGCUUAGAUAGCGAACAGGAUUAGAUACCCUAGUAGUCUUUGCAGAGAAUUAUGAAUGCCAUAGAUUAGAUUUUUCUUCUGGUUUAUAAAUGAAAGUGUAAGCAUUCCACCUCAUGAGUAAUGUGGCAACGCAGGAACUGAAAUCAUUAGACCGUUUCUGAGAACAGUAGUGAAGUAUGUUAUUUAAUUCGAUGGCCCUCGAAAAACCUUACCACAACUUGAAUUAACAUAGGCGAUCGCCUGAGUGAAGGCGUGAUUAACCUUUAUUAGGGGCCAUUGCGUAUAUUAUAUAAAUACGUAGAUGGGGUGUUUGUACUGGAUAAUUUUUAUUCAGCACAAGCUGACGUGCAGAGCAAUCAACCGAUUAAGCAAGUGCUUAAUCAACCUAUUAAGUUAGUGCUUUGGGAAAUCUAAAACUGAUGAUGGUAGAUUUCGUAGUGUAAAAUUGCAUUUUUUUUUAUUUUCGUCUGCGCAAGCGAGCCGUGCUCUCUUGCGCAGAGAUGAAAAUAAAAAAACGAUCUUUAAUUUUUUUAUUUUCGUAUCACCUUUUGCCCUUUGAUAGAUGUCGUGCCUGCCUUAACGAAGCAAGGCAAAACAUGUAUCAGGGGCAUGCUUCGCAAAAGAAGUAAGACUGAGAUGAAAAUAAAAAUUGCACUAUAACGGUGUUAAACAAGUGUUGCACGGUUGUCUUCAGUUAAUGUCGUGAGAUGAUGGUUAGCUCCAUAAAAUUAGCGGAAACCCCGGCUUUAUUUUUAAAUUUUUUAUCAUAAAGCAGUUCAUCAUUAUAUCGAAUAAUCGUGAUAACAGGACCAAGACAAAUCAUCA